rnacentral:rRNA from 1 species
GACGAACGCUGGCGGCGUGCCUAAUACAUGCAAGUCGAACGCUGAAGGAGGAGCUUGCUUCUCUGGAUGAGUUGCGAACGGGUGAGUAACGCGUAGGUAACCUGCCUGGUAGCGGGGGAUAACUAUUGGAAACGAUAGCUAAUACCGCAUAAGAGUAGAUGUUGCAUGACAUUUGCUUAAAAGGUGCAAUUGCAUCACUACCAGAUGGACCUGCGUUGUAUUAGCUAGUUGGUGGGGUAACGGCUCACCAAGGCGACGAUACAUAGCCGACCUGAGAGGGGGGUCGGCCACACUGGGACGGAGAAAAGGCCCAGACUCCUACGGGAGGCAGCAGUAGGGGAUCUUCGGCAAUGGACGGAAGGCUGACCGAGCAACGCCGCGUGAGUGAAGGAGGGUUUCGGAUCGUAAAGCUCUGUUGUAAGGGAAGAACGAGUGUGAGAGUGGAAAGUUCACACUGUGACGGUAUCUUACCAGAAAGGGACGGCUAACUACGUG